rnacentral:lncRNA from 1 species
CCGUAAGUAAGGUUCAAACAAGCCCAACACGUGACUCCUCCGUUGGAUAUCGUUCGGGCUGUAAAACUAUUAUCAACAUGAUUUGAUUGACGAAUCCUCGAAACUUGGAACGUGUUCCAUCAAACUUAUCUGGAAGGCUAACUCGAGGCUCCUUAUGUUAUAGAACUAGUGGUUCUUGUCAAACCUGAGGUAAAGUUGUUUCUCCAAGUGCCGAAAUUUGAGGCUGGUUUAGUUUAGAUUGUGCUAUCCCAGAUACUCCAUCAUUAUGAAGCCUUGCCACCACUCCUUCAAUCUCUGCAGUUCUUUG